rnacentral:misc_RNA from 1 species
AUCAAGCAUCAGACUCCCACCAUUCCUGUAAAGUUGGGACUCUGACUCCAAUAUUUUUCAUGUCAAAGACAUUGGCAACAUGCACGUCAGGUGUAGCAGCGGCUGUGGCAUCAAAAAUAACAGAAACAUUUUGGUAAUCCAGUGCUACCCCAUCAAAGACAGUCUGCCUGAUGCAAUUUGGAGUUUGAACGCCAACAAUCACCAAACUCUUAAUUCCCUCUGUCUGAAGAAAUG